AUGGCGAUCGUCCCGCACGGCGCCGGGGGGAGCACGGUGUCCAUGGCGAUGCCGAUGCUCACACCGGACAACUACACGGUGUGGGCGAUCAAGGCCGAAGCCAUCCUCGACGCCCAGAACCUAUGGGAAGUGGUGUCGCCAGCGAGCGGUGCGGCGGUCGACACGGGGAAGAACAAGACGGCGAGCGCGAUGCUGUUCGGUGCGCUCUCCGAAGACUUGUUGAUGCAGAUAUCGACGAAGAAGACGGCGGCUGAGGUGUGGGCCAGCUUGAAGACAAGGUUCGUCGGUGCCGAUCGGGUCCAGGCCGCGCGGCUCUCCACCCUCCGUGGCGAGUUUGACAACCUGCGCAUGGAGGAGGGGGAGGCGCUGGACACAUACGCCGGCAAGAUCGGCGGCAUGGCAGCAAGGUAUGCUGGCCUCGGCUCGACGCUCGGCGACGCCGCCGUGGUGAAAAAACUGCUCGACACAGUGCCCGAUCGGUUGUAUGCCGCGGUGGCCGGGAUCGAGCAGUUCUGCGACGUGGAGACGAUGGCGUUCGAGGAGGCAUUGAGCAGGCUCAAGGCGUUUGACGAAUGCUUACGUCGGCGCACGCAGGACAACGGCGGACGAGGCGGCGAUCAGCUGAUGUUCACGGCGGCCCAGUGGGAGGCACGACAACGUCAGCGCGGCGGCAACCUCGACCAUGACGACGGUGCGAGCAGCAUGGCCUUGGGCACGAGACGGCGGCGCGGGAAGUGCUACAACUAUGGCGUUCAUGGCCACUUCUCCCGCGACUGCCGGCAGCCGAAGAAGGAGAAGGCGCUCCUCGGCAACAUCGACGACGAGCCGACCUUACUAUAG
rnacentral:rRNA from 1 species